rnacentral:rRNA from 1 species
UACGUAGGCAGCGAGCGUUGUUCGGAGUUACUGGGCGUAAAGCGUGCGUAGGCGGUGUCUUAAGUUUGUUGUGAAAUCUCCCGGCUUAACCGGGAGGGUGCGGCGAAUACUGAGAUGCUGGAGUGCCGGAGAGGUAAGCGGAAUUCCUGGUGUAGCGGUGAAAUGCGUAGAUAUCAGGAGGAACGCCAAUAGCGAAGGCAGCUCGCUGGGACGUUACUGACACUGAGGCGCGAAAGCGUGGGGAGCGAACAGG